AGUCGACGAUGAAGCCCUUCGGGGUGGAUUAGUGGCGAACGGGUGAGUAACACGUGGGCAAUCUGCCCUUCACUCUGGGACAAGCCCUGGAAACGGGGUCUAAUACCGGAUACGACCUGCCGAGGCAUCUCGGCGGGUGGAAAGCUCCGGCGGUGAAGGAUGAGCCCGCGGCCUAUCAGCUUGUUGGUGAGGUAACGGCUCACCAAGGCGACGACGGGUAGCCGGCCUGAGAGGGCGACCGGCCACACUGGGACUGAGACACGGCCCAGACUCCUACGGGAGGCAGCAGUGGGGAAUAUUGCACAAUGGGCGAAAGCCUGAUGCAGCGACGCCGCGUGAGGGAUGACGGCCUUCGGGUUGUAAACCUCUUUCAGCAGGGAAGAAGCGAAAGUGACGGUACCUGCAGAAGAAGCGCCGGCUAACUACGUGCCAGCAGCCGCGGUAAUACGUAGGGCGCAAGCGUUGUCCGGAAUUAUUGGGCGUAAAGAGCUCGUAGGCGGCUUGUCACGUCGGGUGUGAAAGCCCGGGGCUUAACCCCGGGUCUGCAUCCGAUACGGGCAGGCUAGAGUGUGGUAGGGGAGAUCGGAAUUCCUGGUGUAGCGGUGAAAUGCGCAGAUAUCAGGAGGAACACCGGUGGCGAAGGCGGAUCUCUGGGCCAUUACUGACGCUGAGGAGCGAAAGCGUGGGGAGCGAACAGGAUUAGAUACCCUGGUAGUCCACGCCGUAAACGUUGGGAACUAGGUGUUGGCGACAUUCCACGUCGUCGGUGCCGCAGCUAACGCAUUAAGUUCCCCGCCUGGGGAGUACGGCCGCAAGGCUAAAACUCAAAGGAAUUGACGGGGGCCCCGCACAAGCAGCGGAGCAUGUGGCUUAAUUCGACGCAACGCGAAGAACCUUACCAAGGCUUGACAUAUACCGGAAACAUCCAGAGAUGGGUGCCCCCUUGUGGUCGGUAUACAGGUGGUGCAUGGCUGUCGUCAGCUCGUGUCGUGAGAUGUUGGGUUAAGUCCCGCAACGAGCGCAACCCUUGUCCUGUGUUGCCAGCAUGCCCUUCGGGGUGAUGGGGACUCACAGGAGACCGCCGGGGUCAACUCGGAGGAAGGUGGGGACGACGUCAAGUCAUCAUGCCCCUUAUGUCUUGGGCUGCACACGUGCUACAAUGGCCGGUACAAAGAGCUGCGAUGCCGCGAGGCGGAGCGAAUCUCAAAAAGCCGGUCUCAGUUCGGAUUGGGGUCUGCAACUCGACCCCAUGAAGUCGGAGUUGCUAGUAAUCGCAGAUCAGCAUUGCUGCGGUGAAUACGUUCCCGGGCCUUGUACACACCGCCCGUCACGUCACGAAAGUCGGUAACACCCGAAGCCGGUGG
rnacentral:rRNA from 1 species